UCUAUACAUAUGCUUCGUUUCCAAAAGAACAGGAAUACAAUUUCUUGUUAAUCCCUCGUCGUCUUAGCUAAGAAUUCAUUUUGUCAACCUAUGUAUUUUCUGAAAAGAAGUGCAUUCUCCAUGUAUAUAGUGCUCCUUGCAUAAACCGAUUUUUGGUCAAAAACUCCUGUCUCAGACUGUGAACCGAUGUAUUUUGGGUUUUCCAUCACUUUAUGGCCUGAUUUUUUUCAAUCCUAUCUAUGGGUCUUGACUCAUAAAAAUAUAUGGAAAAAUGGAUAAAGAUUUUAUGGUAGCUAUAUGAAUAAGGAUAUGCACUGUACGUCGAGCUAUUUUAUCGGCUCACUACCUCGACUGACAAAGUGAAAAGAAAAAAAAAUUGAAAAACCAUAUUGUAGCUAACCUUCUGCAUAUUUGUCAUUGUCAAAUGUUAAUAAUUAUUGGCUGAUUAGGAGCGUUGGAACUGAAGCUACUUGUACAAGCAAAGUAGAAAAAAAGACAUAUCAAUCAUUUCCAAAUUAGUGGUCUACGGCGACACUUUAUUUGUCCACUCUAUAACAAACUACGCAACCUCCAUAAAUUACCCAUCGUAAUUGAAUUAACAAGAUCAUGGAAUUCUAGACAUAUGUAAUAAUCACGCAUGCAACUUACCUUACUUUUCUUUAUUUACUAUCCUGACUGAUUAUUUAUUUUCUUUCUUUUCAACCAAUCACUCCUGUUAGAUUCCCCGCGUAUGGGAAUAAAAAUUCUGCAUGAUCAUUCCAGGUCUCUAGAAUUCCAUGACAAGAUGAAUUUUCCAAAGUGUAAUCAGAGGAAAAAAUUUCAUACAUCAUGAGGGAGAAAAGAUAAAGUGACGUCAUAUGGUGUCACGGCGUUAAUUUGCGAACAAUAAAAUAUACACUGUAUUUAGAGUAUCAGCUGUUGAUGUUUUUGUUUAUUUUCCUCUCAUCAGUAUUCUGAUUAAAUUUUAUGUAUUGUACACACCUUUAGUUAUAAUAAGACUAUUUCUAGUUAUAUUCAUACUUUUUUAAGUAGCAUAAUUUUGGAAUUUGCAGAGGUUUUUAAGUUGAAAGAGAUCAAACAACCGAGGAAAAAAUAACAAACUACAUUAUAUAUUCACUACUAAGUAUCAAACUUGUAAUUUGUAACAUAAUACGGGAAGUUCUUUGAAUUAAACUAAGCAAUAAAUUUAAUUUAUAUUUCUAA
rnacentral:lncRNA from 1 species